CGCCACAGCCAUAUCACCCUGCAGCCCAAGACCGGUUACUCACUGAAGCUAAGCAGGGCUGAGCCUGGUUAGUACCUGGAUGGGAGACCACAAGGGAACACUAGGUUGCUGUUGGAA
rnacentral:rRNA from 1 species